rnacentral:tRNA from 1 species
GGCCGUAGCUCCAUGGUAGAGCAUCUGCUUUGCAUGCAGAAGGUCCUGUGUUCGAUCCCCAGGUAGGCCU